CCUCCUCGAUCUGCUGCGGGCAGAUGAAAUGAAUAUGCGCGUCGAAGCCGCCGGCGGUCAGGAUGCGGCCCUCGCCGCCGAUGAUUUCGGUGCCAGGCCCGAUGAUGAUGGUCACGCCGGCCUGCGUAUCCGGAUUGCCGGCCUUGCCGAUGGCCGCGAUGCGCCCGUCCUUGAUGCCGAUAUCGGCCUUGUAGAUGCCUCCGGCAUCUACAACGAGAGCGUUGGUGAUGACCGUAUCCACGGCCCCUUGCGCCCGGGAAACCUGGCUCUGGCCCAUGCCGUCGCGGAUA
rnacentral:sRNA from 1 species